AUGCUUCCCGACACCCAGGUCUCCUCCCUCUGCACCUGUCGGGUGUCACAGGGGGAGCAUCGGCCAGGUGCGGUGGCUGCCGGGAGCACAGGUACAGGUGACGGUCUGGACGGCUUCGGGGAAGCUGAAACACUUCCCAUAGCUGAGCCCUCAGCGGCGGGCGCGCGGCUGCCACCACCCCCAGUCAGGAGGCCCCGCGACUUCACUUCUAAGGGCCACUGGGGGCGGAGGCCCUGCGCAAACGGGAUCAGCACCGUUUGUACUUUGUGUGCAUCACACAUUCUUACACAGGGGGAAACGGUAGAGGGUCAUGAGAGAAUGAGCCUGCAGGUCCUGCUGGGGAUGGAACUCUGCGGGGGUGGGGGGGGGGGGGGAUGGAGCAUGGAGCCCUGGGGGGGAUGGAGCCCUGCGGGGGGGGGGGGGGGGGGGGGGGGGGGUGGCGGUCCUGGAUGGCGCCCGCGCUCUCCGGGUGCAGCCGCGGGCCGGGCUCCCCGUCCUCCUCCCACGGACCCAAGGCGGGUGUCCCCGCGUCCCCGGCACCGUCCGUCCGCACAGGGGCCCCGGGGGCACCGGCGAGGAGGCCAGCGCUCCGGGCAGGGAGGGGGCCGCGGGGCCGGGCCGCGGGGUGGCGCAGUCGCUCACCCGGACAGCGGGGCACAUUGGACCGGCUGCUCCGAAGCCGCCAAGCAGCCGAGGUGGCCGCGCCCCAGGCCCCUGCCCCCCCGCCCGCUUCCCUGGCCCAGCCCAGGGCGCCCCGCCCUGGGUGGGGGCGACGGACACCCACGUGGGAGCCCGGGACCUGGGACCUGGAAACGUCGAGGCCCAGCGCCUCGCUGCUCCGCCUGGAGGCCCCGGGGCGGGGGGGCGCCGGGUCCUCAGGGUGACGAGGGGAGGCUCGGGGCACCGUCUGGGACGACGCCCCCCCCCCCCCCCCCCGAUGGCCCGAGACCCAGGGCGGCCGCACCUGGCCGUGCGCCCCGCGAGCCCCCCUCCCCCGAAGGCGCCGCCGGGCCGCACCGCCGGGUCGGGGCCGCUGUGCUUGGGGGUCCGCUCGCGCCCCUCGGACCCCCGGGGUGUGUUCUUGUGUCAAUAAACACAAAUGCAGGUUUACAGGAGCAUCAGCAUAAGUUUAAGGGUUUUAUUAUCAAAGUCUUGUAA
rnacentral:lncRNA from 1 species